CCUACGGGUGACAGCAGUGGGGGAUAUUGCACAAUGGGGGAAACCCUGAUGCAGCGACGCCGCGUGUGGGAAGACGGUCCUCUGGAUUGUAAACCACUGUCCCCAGGGACGAAAAUGACGGUACCUGGGGAGAAAGCUCCGGCUAACUACGUGCCAGCAGCCGCGGUAAUACGUAGGGAGCGAGCGUUGUCCGGAAUUACUGGGUGAAAGGGGAGCGUAGGCGGGGAUGCAGGUUGGAGGUCAAAACUACCGGCUCAACUGGUAGUCGCACUCAAAACUGCAGCUCUUGAGUGAAGUAGAGGCAGGCGGAAUUCCUAGUGUAGCGGUGAAAGGCGUAGAUAUUAGGAGGAACACCAGUGGCGAAGGCGGCCUGCUGGGCUUUUACUGACGCUGAGGCUCGAAAGUGUGGGGAGCAAACAGGAUUAGAUACCCUAGUAGUC
rnacentral:rRNA from 1 species